UCUAGUUCAUUUGACCAUUGAGGAAACUUAAGGUGAAUGGAGGGAAACACCAUCAAUCAAUGAUUUAGAGCUACAAGGGACUUCAAACUCUAAUUCAAGCUUCUGAGCUAACAGGAGAAGAAACUAAGAACCAGGACACGGCUGUCAUUCCAGUUUAUCAUAUGUCCUGCAAAUAAGCCUACUGCUUUAUGCCAGAAAGGUUAUGCCAGCAGCUUUCAAAGACACAGUGAAUUGCAUUUUCUUGUCCUGAACUUUCCCAUUCCAUCCUAUAUUUGCUCCCUUGCAAGGGACUAAGGCAGACAAACCUGGACUAAGGCAGAUGAACCCGUGCAGCUGAAGCAAGAAGCUAAAAACGAUAUUGGGGGUUCCACAGGAUAUAUCCAAGUUCCUUUGAUAUUUCAAUGAAUGUUCUAUCAGGUCCAGAAGUAUUCUAGAGCUUAGAGAAAGAGCAAAAUGCAAGAUGAGCAAUUGUUCUCUGUGUAACAAUAAAAGACUGAGCCUGAGGAACAUGUAUCUAUCAUUUGCUACCAC